CGCACGAGGCCAUCCAUCUUCAUCGCAACACGCUAGAAGUACCAGGAUUGGCCGAUGAUGAUCGGCGAGUGUUUGCUGCAGCCGACCAAGUUCGCUUGCGAGAAAUCGAGGCCAUGAACAAUCUCCUCAGAUAGUUGUAAUGAUCUUAACCAGUCUUUGAAUAUCUUGUGUAACGUUGAUAUUUUUGGCGUUUCCAUCUUGAAUGCGAGCUUGAACGAUUCUCCCGCAGCUUUUUGACCCAACAGUUAUUUUCUUUAAAUGCGCUCCUUUUACCAACUGUUGUCCAUCGCCAUCUUGUUCUAUAAAUACAAACCCCUCGCAUCCCUUUCGAAGGCACUCGCAUAGCACCCAUUAACUCGUUCCUCGCACACACUUCCAAGUCUUCGAUCAGGCGACUAAGAUGGCCUCCUUCUCUUCUGUCAAUCAGGUACGAAGUUAACUCCCUACCUAUCGACUGAUUUCUCCAUCAAUUGAC
rnacentral:lncRNA from 1 species